UCAUAAUAACUGUACCAACUUUGAGUUGC
rnacentral:sRNA from 1 species